AAAUUGAAGAGUUUGAUCAUGGCUCAGAUUGAACGCUGGCGGCAGGCCUAACACAUGCAAGUCGAACGGUAACAGGAAGCAGCUUGCUGCUUUGCUGACGAGUGGCGGACGGGUGAGUAAUGUCUGGGAAACUGCCUGAUGGAGGGGGAUAACUACUGGAAACGGUAGCUAAUACCGCAUAACGUCGCAAGACCAAAGAGGGGGACCUUCGGGCCUCUUGCCAUCGGAUGUGCCCAGAUGGGAUUAGCUA
rnacentral:rRNA from 1 species